rnacentral:rRNA from 1 species
UCGAGGAUUUUUCUCAAUGGGGGCAACCCUGAAGGAGCGACGCCGCGUGGAGGAUGAAGGGCUUCGGCUCGUAAACUCCUGUCACUAGGGAACAAUUGUGCACACUUAAUACGUGUGCACUUGAUGGUACCUGGAGAGGAAGGCACGGCUAACUCUGUGCCAGCAGCCGCGGUAAUACAGAGGUGCCAAGCGUUGUUCGGAUUUACUGGGCGUAAAGGGUGCGUAGGUGGUUGGGUAAGUCAAAUGUGAAAUCCUACAGCUUAACUGUAGAACUGCAUUCGAAACUACCCGGCUAGAGUACUGGAGAGGAGAUCGGAAUUCUCGGUGUAGCAGUGAAAUGCGUAGAUAUCGAGAGGAACACCAGUGGCGAAGGCGGAUCUCUGGACAGUUACUGACACUGAGGCACGAAAGCUAGGGGAGCAAACGGGAUUAGAUACCCCAGUAGUCCCUGAGCGGGCUGGCAAGGCGCAU